UAGUAGCUCAGUCAGUAGAGCAUAAGACUCUUAAUCUCAGGGUUGUGGGUUCAAGCUCCACACUGGACAA